rnacentral:rRNA from 1 species
ACCAAGAGAUCGGUCGAAGCUCAGCUAGAGGAACAGGUCAGUGCCAAGAGGCAGAAUGUCAGCAUGGGGAUGGCCACCCUCGACUGCCCCGUCUGCUUUAAGGCCCUCAGGCCACCCAUAUUCUUGUGUUCUGUGGGCCAUUUCAUAUGCUCGUCAUGCCGUGGCAAGCAACUGGGCAACAAGUGCCAAUCAUGCUCUAUCAAAACUUCCUUCCAGCGUUGCUUUGGGAUGGAACAUGUUGUCCAGUCAGUUAUAGUUCCGUGCUCCAAUGCCAAGUAUGGAUGCGCCGAGAAGGUCACCUACUACCAGAAAGAACAACAUGAGAAGGUGUGCCCAAAUGCCCCAUGCCUCUGUCCAGCUCCCAGCUGCCGCUUCUCCGGGCCAGCAGCACUACUACUGGACCAUUUGACUACCCAGCACAAGUGUCUGUCUACAACCGUCACAUAUUCUGACAUGGUGUCUCUCCGCUUACUACCGGGCUUACAUGUUCUGCGAUGCAGCGGGGCCACCUGCUUCUUCCUGGUCAGCAUGGCAUCGAAGGCAUUUGGACAUGCUAUAUCGGUCGUCUGCGUCCAACCUAACGUUAUGGAACCCAAGUUCACGUGUCAUAUGAGUUACACCUGCUCCAUGACUGGCUAUUGUGAAAAUUCAUAUUGUGUGAUAAAAAGGUCUUCACCGUCUGAUGGGCCACCGACGGGCUACGACUUUAUUCUGCCCAGGGGCAAGGUUUCUGAUGAUAGGAAUGGUAUCAUGCUCAGAAUCGCCAUUCACCAACAUUUUAGUAUGAGCAGAUCGCAUCUUCGAGAAAAAGAUACAAGUUUCGGUCUUACCACGGCUUUUGGUUAUCCAGAUGAUGAUGGUGUGGACGACAACAACAAUGGCGAACAACCUACAUGUUUCGAUGGCACUUGUUCAUGA